rnacentral:rRNA from 1 species
AUACGAAGGGGGCUAGCGUUGCUCGGAAUUACUGGGCGUAAAGGGAGCGUAGGCGGACAUUUAAGUCAGAGGUGAAAUCCCGGAGCUUAACUUCGGAACUGCCUUUGAUACUGGGUGUCUUGAGUGUGAGAGAGGUAUGUGGAACUCCGAGUGUAGAGGUGAAAUUCGUAGAUAUUCGGAAGAACACCAGUGGCGAAGGCGACAUACUGGCUCAUUACUGACGCUGAGGCUCGAAAGCGUGGGGAGC